rnacentral:rRNA from 1 species
CGGUCAUGCAAGUCCUCCGUUAAAUCCACCUGCUUAACAGAUGGGCUGCGGAGGAUACUACAAGGCUAGGAGGCGGAAGAGGCAAGCGGUACUCAGUGGGUAGGGGUAAAAUCCUCUGAUCCAUUGAAGACCACCAGUGGCGAAGGCGGCUUGCCAAUACGCGCUCGACGGUGAGGGAUGAAAGCUGGGGGAGCAAACCGGAUUAGAUACCCGGGUAGUCCCAGCUGUAAACGAUGCAGACUCGGUGAUGGGCCGGCUUUAUGCCGGCUCAGUGCCGCAGGGAAGCCGUUAAGUCUGCCGCCUGGGGA